UGCAAGCUCGAGCGAUUCUCUUCUGAAAAAGAGCGGCGGACGGGUGUAGAUAACGCGUGGGUAACCAUGCCCUGUUACACACGGUAUAACAUACCGAAAGGUAUGCUUAAUACGGGAUAACAUAUUUUGAUGGCAUCAUCGCAAAUAUCAAAGCUCCGGCGGUACAGGAUGGACCCGCGUCUGAUUAGCUAGUUGGUGAGGUAAUGGCUCACCAAGGCGACGAUCAGUAACCGACCUGAGAGGGUGAUCGGCCACAUUGGAACUGAGACACGGUCCAAACUCCUACGGGAGGCAGCAAUGGGGAAUAUUGCACUAUGGGCGAAAGCCUGAUGCAGCAACGCCAUGAGCGAUGAAGGCCUUCGGGUCGUAAAGCUCUGUCCUCAAGGAAGAUAAUGACGGUACUUGAGGAGGAAGCCCCGGCUAACUACGUGCCACCAGCCGCGGUAAUACGUAGGGGGCUAGCGUUAUCCGGAAUUACUGGGCGUAAACGGGUGCGUACGUGGUUUUUUAAUUCUAGAAGUGAAAUGGCUACGGCUUCAACCGUCAAUAAUCUUUUGAAAUCUGUACAAACUUGAUUGCAGUACAGGAGAGUAGAAUUCUCUAGUGUAGCGGCUUAAAUGCGUAUAUAUUAUGAGGAAUACCAGUUGCUAUAGGCGGUCUCACUGGACUG
rnacentral:rRNA from 1 species